GCGCAGAGACGCACGCAUCAGAACACACAAAAUGUGUUUCGUACUUAUGGUCUUCAUUUGAACAUAAAUCACUUCUAUCGAAAUAACAAAAACGGCCUUGAUGUGUAUACAUUUAUGUGUGUGGUGAGGUAGGGUGGGACUGGGUUUACUUAUACAGUAAACUUUUUGUGCUAUGAUGCGCUACAACUGCCCUCACGUCAUAAACCCGGAAGUCUUUGGUUCAGGUAAAACGAGCUGCUGAAUUUGCCCCGAUCUUCGCGUGUACUUGCUUGCAGUAAAAUGGCAGAAGCCAAAAUAUCAUGGGGUGAGGAUCAGUUCAUAUGUGCAGUGUGUAUGAAUCUACUGAAGGAUCCAGUGACUAUUCCCUGUGGACGCAGUUACUGUAUGAGCUGUAUACAGACUUCUGGAAUCAGAAAAAGAAGAAGAAAAUCUACAGCUGCCCUCAGUGCAGACAAACCUUCAGUCCAGUUUUGGGUAAAAACACCAUAAUGGCUGAAAUGGUGAAGAACACCUCCAACAACACGAGAAUCUCUUCAAAGGAAAGAGUCACAAGUUGAUCGAGGCCACUGGACGACUUCAGGAGAUCAUCUGUCCUCGACACGAUAGACUGCUGGACAUUUACUGUCGUACUGAUCAGCUGUGUGUGUGUUAUCUGUGUACGAUUGACGAACACAAAAGUCACGACACGGUUUCAGCUGCAGCAGAGAGAACUGACAAACAGACGAUUUUGGACGACACAAAGAGAAAAUACCAUCAGAGAAUUGAGCAGAUAGAGAAAGAGCUCAAGGAGCUGAGAGAGACUGUGAUGAGUCAUAAACGCUCUGCACUGGCAGCAGUGAAUGACACUGAGAGGAUCUUCACACACAUGAUCCUCUCCAUUGAGAGAAGACGCUCUGAGGUGACACAACACAUCCGAGAUCAGGAAAGACUGCAGUGAGUCGUGCUGAAGAACACUUGAAGGGUCUGGAGCAGGAGAUUGAGGAUCUGAGGAAGAGAGAGGUUGAGCUGGACAAGCUUUUAUUCACGCAAGAUGACAUCACUUUCAUAAAGAACUUUUAGUUUCUGUCUGUCUCUCUUGGAUGUGAAGAUAAACCCAUCAUCACUUUCACUUCUCAACUCUCUUUUAAUGAUGUGAGAAAGUCUGGAUCUAAUCUGAAGGAAAAAAUUGAGGAUUUCUUUAAAGAUAUUGACAAGAUGUCUAAUGGAGGAACAUGCAUUGAAGUUGAACCCACCAAUAAAUCGAAGACCAGACAGGAUGUCCUAUGAUGUUCCUGUCAGGUCACUCUGGACACAAACACAAUUAAUAAAAACGUCCGUCCGUCUGAGAGAAACAGAAAGAUUUCAUGGACCAACAGAUUCCAGCAGAUCAUCCAGACAGAUUUGCUGAUGUGUGUCAGGUGUUUUGUAGUGAGAGUGUGUGUGGAUGCUGUUACUGGGAGGUUGAGUGGAGUUGUUUUUAUGUGAGUAUAUCAGUGUCAUAUAAGAGCAUCAACAGGAAGGGUCGGCUUGAUGAAUGUGUGUUUACAUCUACGGAUCAAACCCGUGACCUUGGUCGUUGGUAGCGCCAUGCUGUAACCACUGAGCCACAGGAAAGCUCAGGUGUUCAUUCUAUCACAACAAGAAUCAUACUGACCUGCCUGGAGUGUUGAGAUCUUGUGGAAAAGGAGUGUAUUCGGAUGUAGACCUUCUGCAGAGACACAAUGACCCUCAUCCACAGAGUCCAAACCACAUUCACUCAACCUAUCUGUCUCGGGUAUUGGGUUGGUUUGGGAUCAACAGUGAAAGUGUAGCAUAAUUUUUUUUUUCUUUGUUUGUGUUAAAUGUAGAUCUGGAUUUGACUUAUAGAAUUGUUAAAUUAUUUUCUUAUUCUAUUUCCAUAGGAAAACCAUUUUUGCCUGCACUCUAAACUUUAGUAAAUGCUCAUUGUCAUAGGAGAGACUGGGGCUGAAUGUCACAUAUUUUGUGUUUAAAUUAAAGACGUAUUUUUU